rnacentral:rRNA from 1 species
GGCGGCAUGCNUUACACAUGCAAGUCGGACGGCAGCGCGGGGCAACCNGGCGGCGAGUGGCGAACGGGUGAGUAAUACAUCGGAACGUGUCUGGAGUGGGGGAUAGCCCGGCGAAAGCCCGGAUUAAUACCGCAUACGCUCUGUGGAGGAAAGCGGGGGAUCUUCGGACCUCGCGCUCAAGGGGCGGCCGAUGGCAGAUAGCUAGUUGGUGGGGUAAAGGCCUACCAAGGCGACGAUCUGUAGCUGGUCUGAGAGGACGACCAGCCACACUGGGACUGAGACACGGCCCAGACUCCUACGGGAGGCAGCAGUGGGGAAUUUUGGACAAUGGGGGCAACCCUGAUCCAGCAAUGCCGCGUGUGUGAAGAAGGCCUUCGGGUUGUAAAGCACUUUUGUCCGGAAAGAAAACCGCUUCUCUAAUACAGGGGCGGGAUGACGGUACCGGAAGAAUAAGCACCGGCUAACUACGUGCCAGCAGCCGCGGUAAUACGUAGGGUGCAAGCGUUAAUCGGAAUUACUGGGCGUAAAGCGUGCGCAGGCGGUUCGCUAAGACCGAUGUGAAAUCCCCGGGCUUAACCUGGGAACUGCAUUGGUGACUGGCGGGCUAGAGUAUGGCAGAGGGGGGUAGAAUUCCACGUGUAGCAGUGAAAUGCGUAGAGAUGUGGAGGAAUACCGAUGGCGAAGGCAGCCCCCUGGGCCAAUACUGACGCUCAUGCACGAAAGCGUGGGGAGCAAACAGGAUUAGAUACCCUGGUAGUCCACGCCCUAAACGAUGUCAACUAGUUGUCGGGUCUUCAUUGACUUGGUAACGAAGCUAACGCGUGAAGUUGACCGCCUGGGGAGUACGGUCGCAAGAUUAAAACUCAAAGGAAUUGACGGGGACCCGCACAAGCGGUGGAUGAUGUGGAUUAAUUCGAUGCAACGCGAAAAACCUUACCUACCCUUGACAUGUACGGAACCUUGCUGAGAGGUGAGGGUGCCCGAAAGGGAGCCGUAACACAGGUGCUGCAU